rnacentral:sRNA from 1 species
UUCUAGCCCAGAUAGAAGCGGUAUCCUUUUUAUUUUUAUCUUUCAAAAAAUAAAAAGAUACAAGCGCAUAGCUGGAUAAGGC